GCUGGGUGUGGGGACAUACACCUGUAAUCCCAGUGACUCAGGAGGCUGAGGCAGGAGGAUUUCAAGUUGGCAACCAGCCUCAG
rnacentral:sRNA from 1 species